rnacentral:rRNA from 1 species
UAUCCUAACUGAAAAUACACAAAAUCACAAAAUGUGCUUAUUGUGAUAACGUAAGGGAAAAAAAUGAUAUUACCUUACUAUAAGUGUUGUCUAAAUAACUGGUGCCAGAAGACUCGGUAACACCAGAAACGCGAACGUUAGUCGUCUUAAACAGGCGUAAAGGGUAAGUAGGCUGCUUUAAAGUCUAUUUUUAAAUAAGCUAAUUUAUAAUAUUCCGCUUUCUUUUUUUUUGUUUUUUAUUAAAUAUUAAAAAAAGAUUUUUCAGACUUUAAAUUAUAAUUAAGGCUAACUUACAAUGAAAAUAAGGAAUUAUAAAAAUUUAAAAAAUAGAAACACUUAAAGCUAAAAUCAUAAUUGAGAUAAACCAAAUAAUACUUAUGUGUAAGGGCGAUAUCUGAAAAUACUAAGUAGAAUACUAACAGUGAAAACUUUUUAUCUGGUAAUGAUUGACGCUGAGGUACGAAAGUGAGAACAGGGAAUAGGAUUAGAUACCCAGUUACCUCUCACCGUCAACGAUGAAUGGUAGUUGUUAGUUUAAUUAAAUUAGUGACGAUGUUAACACGAUAACCAUUCCGCCUUGAGAGUACGGUUGCAAAACUGAAACCAAAAAAAUUAGUCGGUCUCGGAGCCAAACGGACUGAAGCCAUGUUAUUUAAUUCGAAUAU